UCCGUAGGGCGCAAGCGUUGUCCGGAAUUAUUGGGCGUAAAGAGCUCGUAGGCGGCUUGUCACGUCGGGUGUGAAAGCCCGGGGCUUAACCCCGGGUCUGCAUUCGAUACGGGCUAGCUAGAGUGUGGUAGGGGAGAUCGGAAUUCCUGGUGUAGCGGUGAAAUGCGCAGAUAUCAGGAGGAACACCGGUGGCGAAGGCGGAUCUCUGGGCCAUUACUGACGCUGAGGAGCGAAAGCGUGGGGAGCGAACAGG
rnacentral:rRNA from 1 species